rnacentral:rRNA from 1 species
AUAUCAAUAAGCAGAGGAAAAGAAACUAACAAGGAUUCCCCUAGUAACUGCGAGUGAAACGGGAAAAGCUCAAAUUUAAAAUCUGGUGGUCCCCUGGCCAUCCGAGUUGUAGUCUAGAGAAGUGUUUUCUGCACUGGAUCCAUGUACCAAGUCUCUUGGAACAGAGUGUCAUAGAGGGUGAGAAUCCCGUCCUUGACAUGGACCUCUCCAGGGCUAUAUGAUGCACUCUCAAAGAGUCGAGUUGUUUGGGAAUGCAGCUCAAAAUGGGUGGUAAAUUCCAUCUAAAGCUAAAUAUUGGCAAGAGACCGAUAGCGAACAAGUACCGUGAGGGAAAGAUGAAAAGCACUUUGGAAAGAGAGUUAAACAGUAU